CCUACGGGAGGCAGCAGUGGGGAAUCUUGCACAAUGGAGGAAACUCUGAUGCAGCGAUGCCGCGUGAGUGAAGAAGGCCUUUGGGUUGUAAAGCUCUUUUGUAGGGGAAGAUAAUGACUGUACCCUAAGAAUAAGGUCCGGCUAACUUCGUGCCAGCAGCCGCGGUAAUACGAAGGGACCUAGCGUAGUUCGGAAUUACUGGGCGUAAAGCGCGCGUAGGCCGUUGAGUUAGUUAAUUGUGAAAUCCCAAAGCUUAACUUUGGAACUGCAAUUAAAACUGCUCGACUAGAGUUUGAUAGAGGAAAGCGGAAUACAUAGUGUAGAGGUGAAAUUCGUAGAUAUUAUGUAGAACACCAGUUGCGAAGGCGGCUUUCUGGAUCAACACUGACGCUGAGGCGCGAAAGUAUGGGUAGCAAAGAGGAUUAGAUACCCUCGUAGUCCAUACCAUAAACGAUGAUUGCUAGAUGUUGGAAAUUUAUUUUCAGUAUCGCAGCUAACGCAUUAAGCAAUCCGCCUGGGGAGUACGACCGCAAGGUUAAAACUCAAAGGAAUUGACGGCNGAGAGUAGCGACGACGACGACGAGGAGAG
rnacentral:rRNA from 1 species